CUUCCGAUGGCGACCGGCGCACGGGUGAGUAACACGUAUCCAACCUGCCGAUAACUCGGGGAUAGCCUUUCGAAAGAAAGAUUAAUACCCGAUGACAUAGUUCUUCCGCAUGGUAGAACUAUUAAAGAAUUUCGGUCAUCGAUGGGGAUGCGUUCCAUUAGCUUGUUGGCGGGGUAACGGCCCACCAAGGCAUCGAUGGAUAGGGGUUCUGAGAGGAAGGUCCCCCACAUUGGAACUGAGACACGGUCCAAACUCCUACGGAAGGCAGCAG
rnacentral:rRNA from 1 species